UAUCUCUGUAGAGUCUGCAUAUCAAUAAGCGGAGGAAAAGAAACUAACUAGGACUCCCUCGGUAACGGCGAGUGAAGCGGGAAGAGCUCAAAUUUGAAAUCUUCAAGGUUCUACCUUGACGAAUUGUAGUUUAAAGAAGUGUUUUCUGUUGGAGUUUUGGUAAAAGUUCUUUGGAAUAGGACAUCAUAGAGGGUGAGAAUCCCGUAUUUGACCAUUAUUUCCAGCUUUGUGAUACACUUUCAAAGAGUCGGAUUGUUUGAGAAUGCAGUCCAAAAUGGGUGGUAAAUUUCAUCUAAAGCUAAAUACUGGCGAGAGACCGAUAGCGAACAAGUACCGUGAGGGAAAGAUGAAAAGAACUUUGAAAAGAGAGUUAAACAGUACGUGAAAUUGUCAAAAGGGAAGCGUUUGACACCAGUGUUGUUUUCUCGAAAAUCAAUUAAAAAAGGCAGGGAUUUUGUGUUGUAUUGACUUUAUCAGCUUUCUGCACUCUUUUCUUGUCUUUUUUUAAUGCACUUUUCGUUUAACAAGUCAACAUCAAUUUCUUUUGUUGUAAAAGGGUCAUUGGAAGGUGGCUUUCUUUUCGGAGAAAGUGUUUAUAGCCUUUGGCCUCUGCAAUCGGAGAGAUUGAGGUCUGCAGCGUAGAUCCUUCGGGGUUAGAUACAUUUGUGCUAAGUUAUAGCCUUUCAUAGACAACUUGUUGACUAUGAUCAGUCAUGUAGCUUACUCGCUUAUGCUAUUCUACCUACGCUUAGGAUGUUGAUAGUCACAGCGUGUAC
rnacentral:rRNA from 1 species